UUCAGGAUGGAAACGCUGAUCUUGCUACUGCUGAAAUUCCCAUCCAUGCAGAAAGGGAGGGAGGAAACAUCACAGUUGGCUGUUCAUUUUCUUUGUCUGGAAGCUUGAGGCUCUUCUGUAAGGAAAAAUGUGAACAAGGAAAAAUUCUCAUUGAUACAACAGAGGACACAGCUCAACGAGGCAGAUACAGCAUUGAAUAUAAAGAAGGAAGCUUUCUAGGAACUAAGACAAUUAUGUAUGCGAGCAUCACAAAGCUGGAAGUGUCUGACUCGGGAGUGUACAGGUGCUCUUUGGGCAGAAUGGGUGUAGAUUUUUUUGAUUCAAACUAUGAAUUUCAGAUCUCUGUCAAAGAAGCCUCCACACCAACAAUGAAGAUGACACCAGAGAGUUCAAUCUCCACUGCUACAUCAGUUGAAGGAUUCCACUGAAGCUUUCCACCACUUUCCCACCCAACCUGCAAGUUCAGAUCUGCUGCUAUACACGGGUCUGUUUGUGAUUGUCCUGAUCGCCUUCUUAUCAGCAGCUUUGCUGAUUUUCUGCAAGAGGAGAGCCACUAAACCCAUAAGACCUCCAGUAGAAAAUGUGUACUCCAGCAUCAUAGAUGACAACCAGCUGUAUGAAGAGAUCAGAGAGGAGACAUUUCCACCUCCUGUGGAAAUGUCUACAGUUUACACCACUGCCACACGCCCCCAGCCAGAUGGAGUUGAAAGCUCAGAUGACUAAAGCAUCGCCACUUAGAACUUAAAACGGUGUGCUCUCUAAGCGAAGUGCUCUGCCGUGUUCACAAAUGAAGAUUUGACGUACCACAGCAUCAAUCCAGGGACCGGAACGAAACCUACGCUACACUCACAGAGAUAUCAAAUCUAAAUUACAUAUUGUCUGUGUGUGCCAGCUCAUGCAUGCUUUAAAACAACUCUAAUGACAUGAUGAAUGAGAUGGAUAGGAAAGAUAUACUAAGGAAUAAAGCUAAAAGGAAACAUAUGAGUUAAAAUGGUUAAGUUGUUGUGAUAACUACUCACGAAUGAACCAGCUAAUGUAAAGUAUAGUAAUAUAAUUAUUAUUUGAGACUAUGAUGUUCAAAAAAAUCAAAGGAAAGGAAAUGAACUUAUAAACUUGUAUUAUAAACUUAUAAUUUAUCUAUGGACAUAUAGGAAGGACCAAAUAAAAAAUAUGUAACUAAAACAAGUCAACAACAAAGGAAA